rnacentral:rRNA from 11 species
AUAUGAAGCCUAAAUACUUUAAAGGCAUCAGAUCCCAUCUGAUCUUGUGAAACUAAGCAGGGUGAGCCCUGCUUAGUACUUGGAUGGGAAACCACCAUCAGAUAUCAGGUGCUGUGGGCU